rnacentral:rRNA from 1 species
AGAGUUUGAUCCUGGCUCAGAACGAACGCUGGCGGCAGGCUUAACACAUGCAAGUCGAGCGCCCCGCAAGGGGAGCGGCAGACGGGUGAGUAACGCGUGGGAAUCUACCCAACCCUACGGAAUAGCUCCGGGAAACUGGAAUUAAUACCGUAUACGCCCUUUGGGGGAAAGAUUUAUCGGGGAUGGAUGAGCCCGCGUUGGAUUAGCUAGUUGGUGGGGUAAAGGCCUACCAAGGCGACGAUCCAUAGCUGGUCUGAGAGGAUGAUCAGCCACAUUGGGACUGAGACACGGCCCAAACUCCUACGGGAGGCAGCAGUGGGGAAUAUUGGACAAUGGGCGCAAGCCUGAUCCAGCCAUGCCGCGUGAGUGAUGAAGGUCUUAGGAUUGUAAAGCUCUUUCACCGGUGAAGAUAAUGACGGUAACCGAGAAGAGCCCACGAUUCCCCC